GAUGAACGCUGGCGGCGUGCCUAAUACAUGCAAGUCGAGCGAACAGACGAGGAGCUUGCUCCUCUUACGUUAGCGGCGGACUGGUGAGUAACACGUGGAUAACCUACCUAUAAGACUUGGAUAACUUCGGGAAACCGGAGCUAAUACCGGAUAAUAUAUUGAACCGCAUGGUUCAAUAGUUAAAUACGGUUUUGCUGUCACUUAUAGAUGGAUCCGCGCCGCAUUAGCUAGUUGGUAAGGUAACGGCUUACCAAGGCAACGAUGCGUAGCCGACCUGAGAGGGUGAUCGGCCACACUGGAACUGAGACACGGUCCAGACUCCUACGGGAGGCAGCAGUAGGGAAUCUUCCGCAAUGGGCGAAAGCUUGACGGAGCAACGCCGCGUGAGUGAUGAAGGUCUUCGGAUCGUAAAACUCUGUUAUUAGGGAAGAACAAAUGUGUAAGUAACUAUGCACGUCUUGACGGUACCUAAUCAGAAAGCCACGGCUAACUACGUG
rnacentral:rRNA from 1 species